rnacentral:rRNA from 1 species
AGUGAACGCUGGCGGUAGGCCUAACACAUGCAAGUCGAACGGCAGCACAGGAGAGCUUGCUCUCUAGGUGGCGAGUGGCGGACGGGUGAGGAAUACAUCGGAAUCUGCCCAGUCGUGGGGGAUAACGUAGGGAAACUUACGCUAAUACCGCAUACGACCUUCGGGGGAAAGAGGGGGAUCGCAAGACCUCUCGCGCUUGGAUGAGCCGCUGUCGGAUUAGCUAGUUAGCGGGGGAAUGGCCCACCACGGCGACGAUCCGUAGCUGGUCUGAGAGGAUGAUCAGCCACACUGGAACUGAGACACGGUCCAGACUCCUACGGGAGGCAGCAGUGGGGAAUAUUGGACAAUGGGCGCAAGCCUGAUCCAGCCAUACCGCGUGGGUGAAGAAGGCCUUCGGGUUGUAAAGCCCUUUUGUUGGGAAAGAAAUCUUUCAGGCUAAUACCCUGGGAGGAUGACGGUACCCAAAGAAUAAGCACCGGCUAACUUCGUG